ACGGAAGGCAGCAGUGAGGAAUAUUGGUCAAUGGACGGAAGUCUGAACCAGCCAAGUCGCGUGAAGGAUGAAGGUAUUAUGUAUUGUAAACUUCUUUAGCAGUGGAGUAAUAAGGGGAUCGUGAUCCCUGAUGCAAGUACACUGAGAAUAAGGAUCGGCUAACUCCGUGCCAGCAGCCGCGGUAAUACGGAGGAUCCGAGCGUUAUCCGGAUUUAUUGGGUUUAAAGGGUGCGCAGGCGGCUUUUUAAGUCAGUGGUUAAAUCGUGACGCUCAACGUCAUCACGCCAUUGAUACUGGAGAGCCUGAUUGCGGUCGAGGUUUGCGGAAUUCGUUGUGUAGCGGUGAAAUGCAUAGAUAUGACGAAGAACACCGAUUGCGUAGGCAGCAGACCAGGCCGUAAAUGACGCUCAUGCACGAAAGUGCGGGGAUCGAACAGGAUUAGAUACCCUGGUA
rnacentral:rRNA from 1 species